rnacentral:rRNA from 1 species
UAGUCCACGCCGUAAACGAUGAGCACUAGCUAUUGGGGGUAUUGACUCCUUCAGUGGCGUAGCUAACGCAUUAAGUGCUCCGCCUGGGGAGUACGGUCGCAAGACUAAAACUCAAAGGAAUUGACGGGGGCCCGCACAAGCGGUGGAUUAUGUGGUUUAAUUCGAAGCAACGCGCAGAACCUUACCUAGGCUUGAAAUCCUCGGAAUUCGGAGUAAUUUUCGAAGUGCCCGCAAGGGAAUCGAGUGACAGGUGCUGCAUGGCUGUCGUCAGCUCGUGUUGUGAAAUGUUGGGUUAAGUCUCGCAACGAGCGCAACCCCUGUCUUUAGUUGCCAGCAUUAAGUUGGGCACUCUAGAGAGACUGCCUGGGUUAACCAGGAGGAAGGUGGGGAUGACGUCAAGUCCUCAUGGCCCUUAUGCCUAGGGCUACACACGUAAUACAAUGGUACGCACAAUGGGAAGCGAACUCGCAAGGGGGAGCGAAAUCUCAAAAAGCGUAAUCUACAGUCCGGAUUGG